rnacentral:rRNA from 1 species
AUUGAACGCUGGCCGCAGGCCUAACACAUGCAAGUCGAGCGAGCGGCGGACGGGUGAGUAAUGCCUGGGAAUUGCCCAGUCGAGGGGGAUAACAGUUGGAAACGACUUCUAAUACCUCAUACGAUUGGCUUGCCCAGGUGGGAUUAGCUAGUUGGUGAGUUAAUGGCUCACCAAGGCGACGAUCCCUAGCUGGUCUGAGAGGAUGAGCAGCCACACUGGAACUGAGAACCGGUCCAGACUCAUGCGGGAGGCAGCAUUGGUGAAUAUUGCACAAUGGGGGAAACCCUGAUGAAGCAAUGCCGGGGGUGUGAAGAAGGCCUUCGGGUUGUAAAGCACGUUCAGCGAGGAGGCGUUACUCGCAGAAGAAGCACCGGCUAACUCCGUGCCAGCCGCCGCGGUAAUUC